rnacentral:rRNA from 1 species
AGAGUUUGAUCAUGGCUCAGGACGAACGCUGGCGGCGUGCUUAACACAUGCAAGUCGAACGAUGAUCUCCAGCUUGCUGGGGGGAUUAGUGGCGAACGGGUGAGUAACACGUGAGUAACCUGCCCUUGACUCUGGGAUAAGCGCUGGAAACGGCGUCUAAUACUGGAUAUGACCUUUCUCCGCAUGGGGUUUGGUGGAAAGAUUUUUUGGUUGGGGAUGGACUCGCGGCCUAUCAGCUUGUUGGUGGGGUAAUGGCUCACCAAGGCGACGACGGGUAGCCGGCCUGAGAGGGUGACCGGCCACACUGGGACUGAGACACGGCCCAGACUCCUACGGGAGGCAGCAGUGGGGAAUAUUGCACAAUGGGCGAAAGCCUGAUGCAGCAACGCCGCGUGGGGGAUGACGGCCUUCGGGUUGUAAACCUCUUUUAGUACGGAAGAAGUGGCCCUUUAGGGGUUGUGACGGUACGUGCAGAAAAAGCACCGGCUAACUACGUGCCAGCAGCCGCGGUAAUACGUAGGGUGCAAGCGUUGUCCGGAAUUAUUGGGCGUAAAGAGCUCGUAGGCGGUUUGUCGCGUCUGCUGUGAAAUCCCGAGGCUCAACCUCGGGUCUGCAGUGGGUACGGGCAGACUAGAGUGCGGUAGGGGAGAAUGGAAUUCCUGGUGUAGCGGUGGAAUGCGCAGAUAUCAGGAGGAACACCGAUGGCGAAGGCAGUUCUCUGGGCCGUAACUGACGCUGAGGAGCGAAAGCGUGGGGAGCGAACAGGAUUAGAUACCCUAGUAGUCC